rnacentral:lncRNA from 1 species
CUCCCUCAAUCUUCAUUAGAAUCUAUACACGAAGAGCAGAGAGAGGAGUAUAGGAGUUAUACCUGUAACCGAAGUUAUUCAAUUUUGGACUCCAUCGGUGGGAUGAAGUUCUCUUAUCGGCUAAUACUCGACUUGGUCCAGCUGGGGCUCUAUUCUUUUUUUAUUUUUCUUCUAAUUUUUUUCUUCCGAUUAACAUCGUCAGU